GGCGAGACUGAGCACGUGGCGAGCCCAACGGGCUGUAAACCCGCCGUCUUUGACUGUGCUGGUUCAACUCCAGCUCUCGCCACCA
rnacentral:tRNA from 1 species